rnacentral:rRNA from 1 species
AUGAUUUCUGCCAGCACACACAAUUAUGGCAAGAGUCACACCCGUUGUGGAGCCAAGUUGGUGGAUGACUGGGGUAUACAUGUGGAUUUUUGGAGUGAGCUGCAUGAGGUGCGGGAUCUACAUGUGGGUCCCUGGAUACUUUUCGGAGAUUUUAAUCUCAUCGUCAAUGACGAAGACAAGAGCAAUAUGAACAUAAAUAAAUGUAUGAUGGUGCGGUUUUGAAGGUUGUUGAACUCUAUCGAGCUUAGAGAGAUAUACCUAAAUGGGAGCAAAUACACGUGGACAGAUGAGUGACAUCACGCCACUCUGGUCACGCUUGACCGUUUUUUCGCCUCCACCUCCUGGGAGGAUUGGUUCCCUUCUUGUUUCCCGUCGGCGGCAAGUACAACGACUUUCGAUCAUUGUCCUCUUGGGCUAGACUUGGACGCGGAUUUGCAGUUUGGGAGACGAUUCAGGUUUGAGUGCUUUUGGCCAAAAGUAGAUGUUUUUCAUGGACGUUGUGGAUACUACAUGGCCAGCCGUCCCAUCGCAGGGAAACCUAUUUGUGGUGCUUCAUAA